UACAGAGGUCUCAAGCGUUGUUCGGAUUCAUUGGGCGUAAAGGGGUGCGUAGGUGGCGCCGUAAGUCAGGUGUGAAAUCUCGGGGCUCAACCCCGAAACUGCACUUGAUACUGCGGUGCUCGAGUACUGGAGAGGAGAUUGGAAUUUACGGUGUAGCAGUGAAAUGCGUAGAUAUCGUAAGGAAGACCAGUGGCGAAGGCGAAUCUCUGGACAGUUACUGACACUGAGGCACGAAGGCCAGGGGAGCAAACGGG
rnacentral:rRNA from 1 species